CUAGCGUUCCCACCGAUUUCUGUUUCCUCCCUAGGACCCGGCCUACCUCGUUAACAGCUUUUCAGGUCCCUUUGGAAGAGUUCUGGGGGGGGGGGGGGCUCUCUGCCUGGCUCUCUGCCACCCCGCCCCCCUCCAAGCUGCCAGGUCCUCCUCUCACCCUCCCCCAGAGCUCUCCAGAUCCCUUCUGGCUUCUUGGCCACAGCCCUGGGCCGCCAUCUCUCCUCACCCUCAGCCGGAACUUCCCGCUCACCCCUGGCAUGAACUCACCAGCGCCCCCUGAGCCCACCGCCCUCCCCAGCGAAUAUCUGUCGCAGGGCCCCUUGAUCCUCCAAGGCCCUGCCUGGCAGUUAAGGGGCCUCUCCCCUAGCCACCCCACCAGGCACGUACACCCCUGAUCCCAAAGCGUCCCUCCUCUUACUGAGGCCGGAGGCGUCACGUUCUCUGCUCUAAGACCCCUGCUGGCUCCCUAUUACACCCCCCCCCCAGAGCAGAGGUGCAGGGGAAGGGCUCCUCCAGGUCCCCAGGAUCAAGUCCAAAGUGUCUUCAGAGCCUUUCAGAGGAAGGGUUCUCUUCCCCAGCCUCUUACACCUUCCUCCCUGGACCAUGCAAGUCCGUGAGCCGGGACCCUCUCCCUCAGCUCAGGCUCUUCUGGCUGUGCCCCAGGCUUGGAACGUCUCCCUCCCCUGCCCCAGCCACUGACCUUCCCGGCCCCCUCUCAGUCUCCCUGACAAUCGCCCUCAGGCAGCAAGCCUUCCCGGUUAAGGACCCCCCAUUUCUCCUGGCUGAGCCUGCUUUGCGCACACUUGUUUGCACACUGUCUCCCAUUGGUCCCUGGCUCUCUGGGGCCAGGAACUGGCUUUUGCUGCUUUCUGCGGCCUCUGUGCUCAGCACAGGGCCUGGCACACAGUUGGUGCUCAAUAACUGCUCGGAAACCUGUAAGUCCUAAGCCCAGCCCCCAUAGUCGCCUUUGGCCAGAAGCCUCCCCAAACUUCCAGGCCCCAGGCACAGAAGGGGCUUCUGAGAGCGACCCUGGCACUGAACGGCUGAAUGCGGCCGUUGCCUGGUCCCGGGCCCGCCACAGAGGGAGGAAGCCCCUGGGACUCUGGGCCCUGAUGUCUCAGAGGGCGGCUGUGGGUAGGAGCGGGGGCUGUCCUUCUCAGGCAGCAGCGGCGGCACUAAGGGAGCCCCCAACGUCUGGC
rnacentral:lncRNA from 1 species